AAACUCCUUAUAGACAAAGGCCGAGUCUCAUUGUAAUUGCAUCCCCAAAGCCAUCAGUGUGCCUGGCACACAGCAGGCACACUGUAAAUAUUUGCUGACUGACUGAACGUGUACUUUGUUGGGCUAUUCCAAUCCAAGAAUCCAGGAGAAUCUGGAACAAUUGUGUUAACAGUGAUUCUGCGCCUAAAUACAAAUUUGCAAAUAAGUGCCAAUUGUAUGGAUCCCAACAAGUUCUAUGAAAGACAGUUUGGGCACUGGGAACCAUGAGGUUUUGUCCUGCCCUGUCUGUGUGACCUGGGACAAAUCACAAGAUCUUUUGGAAGCUCAGUAUGCUCAUCUGAAGCUAAGUUAGAUAGCUCUGCAUUGAAUAGAGGAGUGAAAAUAUCCAGUUGAAAAUGCCAAGAUAGAAUGGAACAUUCUGAAAAAAGUUCGGAGAAAGGUGCAUAUUAUUAAAUGGUGAUCGGUUUUCCAUUUCAACGUAUGAAGGAAGAAGUUGCAAUUACUUAGCCUGAAUUGAAUAUUGAGGGGUGGGUGAGUAGUGGCUUUCAAAUAUGUGAAAAAAAUGAUGCAACCUUUUUCAUAUGUCUUCUGACAUUAUAACAACCAUCAGAACAACAAGGAUUUCUAUGGGUUAUAAAGAAUUCUGUGAUAGGGAUAGGUAAAUGGAGCAACUAGAAAUAAUCUAUCCUGAAGACUGUCGACUUCCUUAGUUGAAUUUGAACUCUUUCUUUUCAAAUAAAAAAAAAUCAGUUAAGAGAAAGGUAUUUUAAACCACUGGAUUUAAAAAUUAAUUUCUUAUAUUUAUUAAUACUUGAGGGAGUCAUAUAAAGCCCUAAGUAUUUUCCUUUAGCUUUAUGUACAUAUGGAGACAGAUUUUUCUGUUGCAUAAAAUGUAUACUCUGUAAAGAGAAUUAGAGCAUGAAAUCUUUCUAACCCUUAAUGACCACCAAACACCAGGGAGACGAUGGAAAGCUUAACACAGAUCCAUAAUAAAUCAGAGCUUUUGAAUCAUGAAGCUCUCUCUAUCUCUGAUAACUCAGAAUUUUACACUCAAGAAGACAAGUUUCUAAAUUCUGGGGCACAUAGUUUAUGUAGAUGUAAAUGUGGAUUUUGUUUUAGAACACAGGAUACCUUCCACCAUAAAACUGACUUCUGGAGGGACACAUCAUUCUCAAGUUGUAGGUGGAUUUAAAGAUUUUACUUACUACCUUUCCUAACAGAACAUAGAUAUUAAAAAUAAGCAAGUUUUAGUGGAUAAAAUCAUGAAGGACAAUGAGAAUUAUACCAGAUGCAAAACUAUUAAUCCCCUUGUAAAGAAUACUUGAAGGUCUAGCUCCCAAAACCCAAUUGGAAAGGUGA